GAGCAACUGCCAAUAGCACGAGAAUUCAUUUCGAAGCAUGCUCCACAUCUUCUCCAUUGAUUAAGUAAGCAAAAAAAAUUCAAGGAGACAGAUGAUGUAUUACAACUAGAUUCCAAGAUCAAGGAAGAAGAGAAACAUUUGAUUGACAAAAUGAGAUAUUACAUUUUAUGUUU